UUAGGGUCGUUAAAGACGAUGACGUUGAUAGGAUGCAGGUGUAAAGGUGGUAACAUCAAAGCCGAGCAUUACUAAUUGCCCGUUCACUUUCUUU
rnacentral:rRNA from 1 species